GACGAACGCUUGCGGCGUGCUUAACACAUGCAAGUCGAACGGAAAGGCCCUGCUUUUGUGGGGUGCUCGAGUGGCGAACGGGUGAGUAACACGUGAGUAACCUGCCCUUGACUUUGGGAUAACUUCAGGAAACUGGGGCUAAUACCGGAUAGGAGCUCCUGCUGCAUGGUGGGGGUUGGAAAGUUUCGGCGGUUGGGGAUGGACUCGCGGCUUAUCAGCUUGUUGGUGGGGUAGUGGCUUACCAAGGCUUUGACGGGUAGCCGGCCUGAGAGGGUGACCGGCCACAUUGGGACUGAGAUACGGCCCAGACUCCUACGGGAGGCAGCAGUGGGGAAUAUUGCACAAUGGGCGGAAGCCUGAUGCAGCAACGCCGCGUGCGGGAUGACGGCCUUCGGGUUGUAAACCGCUUUCGCCUGUGACGAAGCGUGAGUGACGGUAAUGGGUAAAGAAGCACCGGCUAACUACGUGCCAGCAGCCGCGGUGAUACGUAGGGUGCGAGCGUUGUCCGGAUUUAUUGGGCGUAAAGGGCUCGUAGGUGGUUGAUCGCGUCGGAAGUGUAAUCUUGGGGCUUAACCCUGAGCGUGCUUUCGAUACGGGUUGACUUGAGGAAGGUAGGGGAGAAUGGAAUUCCUGGUGGAGCGGUGGAAUGCGCAGAUAUCAGGAGGAACACCAGUGGCGAAGGCGGUUCUCUGGGCCUUUCCUGACGCUGAGGAGCGAAAGCGUGGGAGCGAACAGGCUUAGAUACCCUGGUAGUCCACGCUGUAAACGGUGGGUACUAGGUGUGGGGUCCAUUCCACGGGUUCCGUGCCGUAGCUAACGCUUUAAGUACCCCGCCUGGGGAGUACGGCCGCAAGGCUAAAACUCAAAGGAAUUGACGGGGCCCCGCACAAGCGGCGGAGCAUGCGGAUUAAUUCGAUGCAACGCGUAGAACCUUACCUGGGUUUGACAUGGAUCGGGAGUGCUCAGAGAUGGGUGUGCCUCUUUUGGGGUCGGUUCACAGGUGGUGCAUGGCUGUCAUCAGCUCGUGUCGUGAGAUGUUGGGUUAAGUCCCGCAACGAGCGCAACCCUUGUUCACUGUUGCCAGCACGUUAUGGUGGGGACUCAGUGGAGACCGCCGGGGUCAACUCGGAGGAAGGUGGGGAUGACGUCAAGUCAUCAUGCCCCUUAUGUCCAGGGCUUCACGCAUGCUACAAUGGCUGGUACAGAGAGUGGCGAGCCUGUGAGGGUGAGCGAAUCUCGGAAAGCCGGUCUCAGUUCGGAUUGGGGUCUGCAACUCGACCUCAUGAAGUCGGAGUCGCUAGUAAUCGCAGAUCAGCAACGCUGCGGUGAAUACGUUCCCGGGGCU
rnacentral:rRNA from 1 species